rnacentral:rRNA from 1 species
GUGGGGAAUCUUGCGCAAUGGGCGAAAGCCUGACGCAGCCAUGCCGCGUGAAUGAUGAAGGUCUUAGGAUUGUAAAAUUCUUUCACCGGGGAAGAUAAUGACGGUACCCGGAGAAGAAGCCCCGGCUAACUUCGUGCCAGCAGCCGCGGUAAUACGAAGGGGGCUAGCGUUGCUCGGAAUUACUGGGCGUAAAGGGCGCGUAGGCGGACAUUUAAGUCAGAGGUGAAAGCCCAGGGCUCAACCUUGGAAUUGCCUUUGAUACUGGAUGUCUUGAGUUCGGGAGAGGUGAGUGGAAUGCCGAGUGUAGAGGUGAAAUUCGUAGAUAUUCGGCGGAACACCAGUGGCGAAGGCGACUCACUGGCCCGAUACUGACGCUGAGGCGCGAAAGCGUGGGGAGCAAACAGGAUUAGAUACCCUGGUAGUCC